CCUGCCCCUACAAGUGUUGUAGGUUUUGCUGUUGUGCCACAGCUACAUCAACCGGUGGCAGAGAGGAGGGCGGCUAUGUCUCUGAUCAGUGUUCUGACCUAGAAACAUCUGAUGAUUGCUAGCCUAACAUU
rnacentral:snoRNA from 1 species